ensembl:lncRNA
UCACACAGCAGGGACACAACACGAGGAAAGCCUAAAUGGCUGGUCCUGGGUUGUAUUCAUUAGGCACAAAAUGGAAGAAUACUGACUGAAACAGGGACAACCAAAACUUACCCCCCCAAAAAACACUUUUUUUCUGUUACAAAACAUUUUUCUCCAGUGUGCCCCAAUGAAUACAAGUCAGGGUCCCUUAGUAUGAGUUACAACAAAAUCUCUCAUAAGGUCAUUCAGAGUUAAAUGACUAGGAGGUCCCCCAAUGGUCUUGUCGGUACAGAAUGUGGCUGUAUGCUCGAGUAUUUCCAUGAUUUCCUGUGAGUAAGCAGCAGUGCUCAGGGGGGAGUGUUGACGGGAUGGAGAGUGAGAAUUGACAGAUACUGCAGAGGACCAUCCAUUUGUUCAAGGACCAUCCUAGGGGAGAGGAGACAGGAAAAUGGCCUCCUGGAAUCCCCCAAGCAGCUGAUUGGUCGACUCCAUGGCAAAUUGGAGCUGACCCCACCCUCUCGUCAGAAACAGCUGUCUUCAAUUACAGACUCCUUCUGAAUUAAUAUAAACCAGUGUUCUGUUGCUCAGAAGAGAGAUUAUUGCUGAGAGAAUAGAGCUGAGGGUGAUAGCCUGUGUUGGUUGUGUGUUAGAAAGAGCUUAUUGUUAUGGCCUGUAUUGAUUGUUGUUUGGAGAGUUUUUGAUAUUUUGUGUUGGUUGUUGCUCAAAUAUUUUGUGUGUAGUAUUUUGUAGCCGGUCCUGAAAAGGUAUGUGUAUGCCAAAAGGACUGUUUGUGAUUAGUAAUUAUUCUGUUUUGGGGAAAACAUUUUUCCCAGGGGUGAAGGGGAAGGCAUCUUGGGAGUGCUUAGGCAAGAGGCCUGCGGGCAUACAUAACUCGUAGUAGUUUACUGUCUAUGCACACUAGGUAAGACCUGGGCGGACCACCCCCUGUAUUUUGGUUAGUGCACCAGGUGGUGCUAGUUAGGUAAGUAGAGGGUAGGCAGGUAAGGUAGAGGGGGCUUUGAUAUUUACUUUCUUUGCUUUUGUUCCGUUCAGCCCCUUUUCCCCCAAAUUACCGUGUGACGGAAUAAAUUCCUUGUAAACGGUA